rnacentral:lncRNA from 1 species
GCAGGAGGGUGCUGGGGAAGUUCAGGCUGUCCCCAGAAGUCAGCUUAUACGACCUUCAUGCUGGACUACACAUGUCAUCUCCCGGAGCAGCAGGCGGUGGCUGGGACGGCAGCACAGAGAGACAGCCCGGCACAGGCUCCGCUCAGAGCCUCAGGAUGUGGGGAGGCUUCUACAGAUGACCAGCUUGGUGGCGUCAUCGUCCCCACCUGGAGGAAGGAGACCUUAUCUGGAACCAGGAGGCGUGUCUGUAAGAAACUCUUAUGAAGUUGUCGGGGUUCAAGUUGGCCUUCCUGUUGUUCACCUGGUGGAGAAUGUUCCUGUGGGCCUUGGCAGCAAGUCAGCAUUCUUCGUUGGCAUGGAUGGAGUCGUAGGAAAAAGAGGCUCUCCACCCUGAAGUCAGUUGCAUAUCACCCCAAUAAACAGUUACAUUGCCUCUGCCAACACAGGAUCCCAAA